CAACCCUCGAGCCCCUGUGGCCCGGCGUUGGGGAUCUGCCACGGCAGGCCCCUAAAACCAGUGGCGGACCCGAAGGGCCCUCUCCUUUGCGCAGUAGCAUUCGCCUCGCAUUGGGAGUCCUCGGCGUCCUGCCUCUAAACCCCCCACAAGUCCGCUUCGGCGGCACCAA
rnacentral:misc_RNA from 1 species